rnacentral:piRNA from 1 species
AGGUAGUAGUAGGAAGCAGCAUG